rnacentral:rRNA from 1 species
AUUGAACGCUGGCGGCAGGCCUAACACAUGCAAGUCGAGCGAGUGGCGGACGGGUGAGUAAUGUCUGGGAAACUGCAUGAUGGAGGGGGAUAACUACUGGAAACGGUAGCUAAUAACGCAUACCAUCAGAUGGGCCCAAGUGGGAUUAGCUAGUGGGUGGGGUAACGGCUUACCUAGGCGACGAUGCCUAGCUGGGCUGAGGGGAUGACCAGCCACACUGGAACUGAGACACGGUCCAGACUCCUACGGGAGGCAGCAGUAGGGAAUAUUGCACAAUGGGCGCAAGUCUGAUGCAGCCAUGCCGCGUGUGUGAAGAAGGUCUUCGGAUUGUAAAGCACUUUCAGCGGGGAAGCGUUACCCACAGAGUAAGCACCGGCUAACUCCGUGCCAGCAGCCGCGGUAAUUC